CCUGGUAGCCUAUACAUGUAUUGCUGUUCAGGCAUUGCAUUGAACAACUGUGGGCUGUAUAUGUAAGAGGUUCCAUCCCCGACGGAACAAACCCAAAGCACGAUGGCGUGGUUUUUGAACACGGUGCUCUUUCUCUCCAUCACUGGGACUCUCACCGAUGCCGCGUGUCACUGUAACACUGCAGCUGCCUGU